GAUGAAGAACGUAGCGAAAUGCGAUAAGUAGUGUGAAUUGCAGAAUUCAGUGAAUCAUCGAAUCUUUGAACGCACAUUGCGCCCCAUGGUAUUCCGUGGGGCAUGCCUGUUCGAGCGUCAUUUACCCCCUCAAGCUCCGCUUGGUGUUGGGCGUCUGUCCCGCUUCGCGCGCGGACUCGCCCCAAAGGUAUUGGCAGCGGUCGUGCCAGCUUCUCGCACAGCACAUUGCGCUUCUCGAGGCACCGGUGGGCCCGCGUCCAUCAAGCUCACCCCCCCAGUUUGACCUCGGAUCAGGUAGGGAUACCCGCUGAACUUAAGCAUAUCAUAAGCGGAGGA
rnacentral:misc_RNA from 1 species